UACGAAGGGGGCUAGCGUUGCUCGGAAUCACUGGGCGUAAAGGGCGCGUAGGCGGCCAUUCAAGUCAGAGGUGAAAGCCCAAGGCUCAACCUUGGAACUGCCUUUGAUACUGUUUGGCUUGAGACCGGUAGAGGUAAGUGGAACUGCGAGUGUAGAGGUGAAAUUCGUAGAUAUUCGCAAGAACACCAGUGGCGAAGGCGGCUUCAGAGACCGGUUGUGACGCUGAGGCGCGAAAGCCAGGGGAGCAAACGGG
rnacentral:rRNA from 1 species